rnacentral:lncRNA from 1 species
CCGCCACAAAUGCGGUAGCGACACAACACGCCCGCCGUGACCGUACUUUUAAAUGACCACAUAUAUUUAUAUCUAAAUAACCCUGUAAUGAAAUAAGAAAAACAAUUGCCCACAUGAGAUAAAGUAACGCCGUCAGAUUGAAACUGAAUCCAUUAUUCCUACAUGUAUUCAAACCUUUAAAACUUAGAACACAUGAACACUGGUACUUGUCACCAAAGUCAGAGAAUAAGGGGACUUUAACCUUUGGUCUUUGCAUUUCAUAUUUUUAACCAAUAAAUUAGACAAUAUUUUAGUUUAGUUUCUGUUAUUUCUAUACAUGUACCAUGACAACAUUG